UUGCUACUCCCUCCGUCCGGAAAAGCUUGUCCCAAGCUUGUUCCUCAAAUGGAUGUAUCUAGCACUGGUGCUAGAUACAUCCAUUUGAGGGACAAGCUUUUUCGGAUGGAGGGAGUACGGU
rfam:Triticum aestivum genome assembly, contig: Triticum_aestivum_CS42_TGACv1_scaffold_224386_3B